CUUGCAAGGCGCUCUAGGAACUCUGAAUAGUUCUUUGAACAAUGCGUUACAUUUACGUACCAUCAAUGCUAAUAUUGAGAUGUUUGGCACGCUGAAAGAAAUAACUUAUUAGUCCUUCUACUCUAGGCAUUAUUUUUUUAAAAAAAAAAUAAUAAUAAUUAAGAAAUACUCAUGGUAACCAUCCGAGCAGAUAAAAUUAGUAAUAUUAUUCGUGAACGUAUUGAGCAA